UUGUGUCGUGAUCUGAUCAUUGCUAACUGAUAAAAAAAAGUCAUUUGGUUUAUUCUCCGGCUAAUAUUCACCAUGAAUAGCCCACAGUUUGCAAGCACAUUAUGCCCACAGAGAACAGAAACACCAAAGUGGAGAAAUAAACCUAAAACCAUCUUCUUAUAACUGUGGGUCUUGCCGAAGAUUGUCAAAUUAAACUAUAAGAGAUUACAAAAGUUUAAAAACAAAUAUUAAUGUAAUAUAUGCUUAACAUUAUACUUUUAAUACUACAAUACUCUCUUCAUAGAAAAAAAUACAACAAUAGUCUAACAUUUCAAUUUCAUAAUAAGUAACAAAUCACAGUACAUUUGUGUUAAAUAAAAUUAAAAUAUAAAAUGGUCAAAUCAUAUAUAAUAUCACAAAAAUAUAAGUUUUAAAAGUGCAAACAAUUAAAAAAGGAUCUAAUUCUUCAAAUGAUUUGAAGUACUAAUAAAAUAUAGAGUCAAUGAAUAACCAAUAUUUCAAAUUUGUUAACUCAUUUUUUUAACUUUCGUUAAUUCCUUUUCUAACUUCAAAGUUUAUAUGAAUCUAAUAAAACGUAAACUUGUAACUGUUUACAAGUUAACUUGAGAGUUUGACAACAUGUGUCUUUGCAGUUUUUACAUGUAAUGAUCUAGUCUUUCUUUUAUUUAACUGUCUUUAACAAUCUCUCCAUAUGCAAUUAUUGUCAAAUGUCCAUAUGAAGAUGGAUCUUUACAGAAAAUGCUUAGUCUUUUACUCUCUAAGUGUCAAGAAUUAAGGUUUAAAUUUCAAUAGAAAAGAUAUCUGCAUUUAGUGUUUAAUUGCAUCUGGCACAUAAUCGUCUUUGCUUUGAAAGAUAACUGGGGAAAUUAUUGCAUUCGUGUGUCCUCCCCGUAUUGGCGAUUGAAUUCAGCAUAUCUAUGCACAUUGAAAAUAGGAAGGAAGGAUAAGGUCCAAUGGUUAGAAUUGUUGCUGUUUGAAAGCAGUGGAAUCAAUUUAUUAGAAAUGCAGGAUAAGACUGUAAACAACAGAUUCAGAAUGGGUUGAAUCUACACCAAUGAGGGGGAGAGGUGAGCAGCCUUAACUGGAACUAAACUACAAAAAAUAUUAUCUUUGAAAAAACUCACCCAUGUAAAAGAAAAAAAAAUCCAAUUUUUUUACUUGUUAUGAUGGAAGCUUGCCAAUUAUGUUUAAACCAUCCUUGAUCUUUUCAUUAUUUUCUCUAAAACUAUGUAAGUUCCAAAACUUAGUAAAAAUUGGUUUCAGAGUCUAUUUGCAAUUUUGCAAUUAAACUACUGGAAGUUUAUCUUAUAUCUUUCAGUAUUAAACUUUUGAAAGUCUAUCUGUAUAUUUCAAAAUUAAGCUUUCAGAAUUUUCUUUGCUACACAUUCCGAAAUCAAACUUCCUAAAAGACUACUUGUUACACAUUCUGAAAUUAAACUUUCAUAGGUCUUCUCAUUGGCUUGAAUUCGGUGUAUAUCUUAUGCACUAUCGAAAUAUGUAACAAAUAUCUUUUGAGAAGUUUAAUCUCAGAAUAUACAAAAUAAAUUUCUGAAAGACUAAUACUGAAAUACACAAAUAGACUUUAAAAUUUUAAAUUUCAAAACAAUGAAACCACUCACCUAAAGUGCAGAGCACCAAGUUGCCAUGGUUUACACAAUCUGUUGGAUGAGAUAGUGUUAAUUUUUUACUGCUCUGCUGCAAAACAAUGUAUCCAUGAGAAAGUUGGAUUUUUGUAAAGGUUAAAACCAGUAUUAACUGCACAGGGUAAGAGAUAAGAAGGGGACAACCGCUUAUACCAAUGCCUAGCCCUAAAGACAAGUAUAGACCAGACUUUCUGCAGAGAAUCUCAUUUGAUUAGACGGUCCUUGUAAUAAAGGGGCGUAGUGUUAGUGUUGGCAAUGUGCAGAGUUUUUACCAUUAUUAAACUUAGUUUUAAAACGCUCUAGUAACAAACAAAGUCCAUUAGCUAUUUCAUGUGUCACCGCCACUGAAAUAAAGUAGCUAGUAAAGUGAAGUUAUCUGAAUGAAAGUUUGAAUAAAAGUCAUGUGAUAUUAGUAUGAAACUGUGAUAACAAACCGUUAUAUAUCAAAAACAGUACAAGUGAUUCUACUGAUGUGCAUUAACAUACAUGUCAAAAGACACUGAUCUGAAUUAACAAAAUGCAGAACUAACAUGCAUGACAACUGUACGAGUCAUAAUGAUGUGAAAUUAUACUUUAGGGCAGGUUAAUGAUGUGCACUAACAUAUAUGUCAACACACUUCGUGGAUCAACAAAAUACAGAACUAACAUGCAUGACAACUUUUGGGGUCAUAAUGAUGUAAAGUUAUAUUUUAGAACAUGAAAAAUGACUAUUUCGGUGAUGAUUUGAUAAAAAAUUUUACUUCUUUCUCGAAUGUGUGAAAAGUACUAUAAUUAAAUUUUACUGUAGAACAUGAUAACAAAUUAGUCUCUACAUUUUACAACUUUAAAUUGGUCCUUAAACCUUACAAGUUAAUGACAAAAUGGACCAAGAAAACUUCAUGACAGGACGUAAUUGUUGCUUCUUUAUAUAUUUAUGGAUUAUAGAUUAAAUUAGAAUUUCCGUUCUGGAUCUUAAUUAUCUAAUUUACAUAUUCAAGGGGAAAAAAUGACAAUUUACUCUUUACGACCAUCUAGAGGAAAAUAGCCAACUAGGUCCCUAAAUGUGAAACUAGUUUUUUUAUUUCUAAGAUGAUGUUAGAGUCUAUUUUAAGGAGAUUUAUUGGAUCUAUGUGUGACCCUGAAUUGUAUUCUAUUUCUUUCAAAAAUUAAAUUAUCACUUGUUUACAUAUUUAAAGAUUAAAUUCAUCAUUCAUCUUGUCACCAUCUAAUGGUAAAAUGGUUUGUUUGGUUACUAAAAGUGAAUGACAGUUUCAAGUUAGGCCCUAAAUGUUAAUAAACUUAAAAAAAAAAACAAGUCUAUAAAAGUAGUUUCUAUCUUUUUGUUUAAGACAUGUAUGUUAUGAUUAAAUACAAUUUAGUCCGUUAUGAUUAAAUUGUAUUUUAAUAAUAAUAUGCAGAAAAAAAAGGUGAAUUUGAAAUAAAAAAGCUAUAUUGGUAAACCUUUUGCUAAUGUAUUAACAAUUAGCUUUAUCUUGAAACCGUGGUUCACUUUUGAAGAAGUAACCAUACCUUUCUAUUGCUUUUAAUAGUCUCUAUUUUGCAUAUUUUCAUAAAGUGAAAAUUCCUGACUUGGGUAGAGCAGUUGUUGCAAAAGAUGCCUAUUCACCUCACAGCAUGCCAGAUCAAAAAUCUGUGUCACUUCACUAUCUUACUUGGCUUCAUUGCUGCACUUCUCUAUCUUACUUGGCAUGAAAUCAAUAGUGUAAACUAAAACGGCACCUUAAGGUCUUGCUGAGUCACCAUGUCAAUUGAUUAAUCCCACACCAAGUAUGAAUCCAAAACCCAAAUCCCAAAUACCAACACACUCACCAUAAUUGAGCACCUUCACAUGAACAACCAACCCCACAUCUUACCAAAAUCUCCCACCAUGUUUCACCACACCUCUUUAGCAUUAACACCUGCCUCCAAACCAAGCAUGUGGCGACAAAUAUCACCGAAACCAGUCCCAAUACUAGUCUUUCUACUGUCUGUUUCCUUAACUUAAUAUCCCUCACUCUGUUUAGCUCCAAAUGACUCUGUUUUUUGCCCUUAGUCUGCCCUUCUAAGUACCAUCACAGCAAUGCUUCCGCCCUAAGCAAGGCAAUAACUUCCCAUAACCAAUUGCAAGAACCCCAUUUUCAAAAGAAUCACGUUGAAGCACAUGUUUUAAACAGCCCCACUACCACUAAGACCACCUAUAUAUAUUCUCCAUCAUCCUUCCUCUUUCUGUAUCACUCUCACCCUUGAA
rnacentral:lncRNA from 1 species